GACGAACGCUGGCGGCGUGCCUAAUACAUGCAAGUUGAGCGCUGAAGGUUGGUACUUGUACCAACUGGGUGAGCAGCGAACGGGUGAGUAACGCGUGGGGAAUCUGCCUUUGAGCGGGGGACAACAUUUGGAAACGAAUGCUAAUACCGCAUAAAAACUUUAAACACAAGUUUUAAGUUUGAAAGAUGCAAUUGCAUCACUCAAAGAUGAUCCCGCGUUGUAUUAGCUAGUUGGUGAGGUAAAGGCUCACCAAGGCGAUGAUACAUAGCCGACCUGAGAGGGUGAUCGGCCACAUUGGGACUGAGACACGGCCCAAACUCCUACGGGAGGCAGCAGUAGGGAAUCUUCGGCAAUGGACGAAAGUCUGACCGAGCAACGCCGCGGGAGUGAAGAAGGGUUUCGGAUCGUAAAACUCUGUUGGUAGAGAAGAACGUUGGUGAGAGUGGAAAGCUCAUCAAGUGACGGUAACUACCCAGAAAGGGACGGCUAACUACGUG
rnacentral:rRNA from 1 species